UACGAGUGUUUAGAUUAAUUCCUGUUGAUGUAGUGCCCUUUCAUUAUCGUUAGUAAUAGCACUUCAGUUAAUGAGAGCCAUAUUCUAGUUUAACUUGUGGUUUGUUUGGCCGGGAAAUCUUUAAACAUACCCUGACUGUUAGCUGCCUUAAUUAAAUAGGACAGCAAGACUAUUGCAAAUAAACCUGUCAAAGAAAUAUGACACCAAUAGGGUGUAAUAUUUCAGCUGCUUUGGAAUUAUUCUAUGAAAUGUUCUCUCUCUUUCGGAUACAUUUACUACACUAUAAUUCCCUAGCAACUCUCUUCUUUAGAACAGUAAAGAAUAUCACACUUUAAUAUCACCAGCUUCCUCAGUUCAAUAAAGAAAAUGCUUCCAAUACAACACAUCCAAGAGACCCGACAUUAGAAAGGGAGUAAUGGGAUUCAGUACAUAUGCAAUAAGAUGAAUAUGCUUCUCGUUUCUGAUUUUGUAUAUAUGUUAUGUUUAAUCUACUGAUUACAGUAGAUAUUUUUUUUUUUUUAACAAACAACCAUGAUUUAAUUUUGCCAGAAGCUGAGAAUGG